UUUGAAUCUUGCCUUGGAGCUCUUGCCGCGCGGCCCAGCACCCUGGAAGAGGCAUCAGGGAGGAUGGGACGACGAGGAAGGGGAAGGUUAUGAAGGGCUGUGACACCUUGCUUGGCUUCUAGUCUUGACAUAGACUAAAAGGCAGAAGGUUUCCAGAGCUCACGCUGGAUGGCUGGGCAGAUGAGGUCUUCAGAGACUCUCCAGGGAGGUACGGCUCUGCCUUUCUACUCAGUAUGCAAGCUCCCCAGACUUCUGAAGAGGGAUGUUUCUCCUUAGAGAAAGUCUCCCUGAAUGUGGGUAUUUCAUAAGUUCUUGGACCAGUUCUGCUCUUCUCAGUCCUGCUUUUUGUCAACAUACAUUGAAUCACUUCUCCCUGGCAAAAGAGCAGCAUGUGAAGAAAAUGUGAUCCUUGGUGGUUUGACAUGAAAUUGACUUUUUCUUCUAGCAACACUUAUGAAUAUUCAAAUACAAUUAUGGAAAAGAUUUUUUGCACUGAUCAGCAUAACAAACAAAUUAGACAUCCCAGUGUGCAAAUAUAACUUUCUGAAUUUCCUAGUUUUAAAUAUUCCAGUGGCCAGGAUACCCUAUCCAGAGGAAGCAGGACCGUCUCAGCUGACCAGGGCCCUUGCCUGCUAAUAGCAUCAUGCAUACCUUGUUUCUUCAUGAGGCUGCUUGCCCGAGUUCCAAUCCACCAGGAAUUCAUCUUGUAUCAUAGCUGAUGGAUCCCGUGUCUCGUUUCUAAGUUGGAGCAUCACUUUGCAGCUCCCAACCAGGGCCAGCCACAAAAUUUGAAAGGCCCAGUGCAAAAUAAAAAUGCAGAGCCCCUUGUUCAAAAAGCAGGAAAAGAAUGGGCCAGCAAAGGAACUAAAAUAAACGAAAGCUUUUCCCUUUC
rnacentral:lncRNA from 1 species